rnacentral:rRNA from 1 species
UAGUGGCGAACGGGUGAGUAACACGUGGGCAAUCUGCCCUUCACUCUGGGACAAGCCCUGGAAACGGGGUCUAAUACCGGAUAACACUCCUGUCCUCAUGGAUGGGGGUUAAAAGCUCCGGCGGUGAAGGAUGAGCCCGCGGCCUAUCAGCUUGUUGGUGAGGUAAUGGCUCACCAAGGCGACGACGGGUAGCCGGCCUGAGAGGGCGACCGGCCACACUGGGACUGAGACACGGCCCAGACUCCUACGGGAGGCAGCAGUGGGGAAUAUUGCACAAUGGGCGAAAGCCUGAUGCAGCGACGCCGCGUGAGGGAUGACGGCCUUCGGGUUGUAAACCUCUUUCAGCAGGGAAGAAGCGAAAGUGACGGUACCUGCAGAAGAAGCGCCGGCUAACUACGUGCCAGCAGCCGCGGUAAUACGUAGGGCGCAAGCGUUGUCCGGAAUUAUUGGGCGUAAAGAGCUCGUAGGCGGCUUGUCACGUCGAUUGUGAAAGCCCGGGGCUUAACUCCGGGUCUGCAGC